rnacentral:lncRNA from 1 species
CCGCCCGCCGGGGGGGGGCUCUGCUGCGCCUGCGCCUGCGCCGCCAUCCUCGUCUCCGAUCUCCUCCCUUCCUUCCUUCCUUCCUCCUCGACGGAUUCGGGAUGGGAUUUUUUUUUCUGGGGUUUUUUUGCGGAUUUUUUUGGGGGUAAAAUUUUUCGGUUUAGGGUUUGAUAAGGGUUGGGAGGAGAGGUGGGUUGCCUCCCAACUGCGGCGCGAGACGGAGGAGCC